UACGUAGGGGCGUAGCGUUGUCCGGAUUUAUUGGGCGUAAAGAGCGUGUAGGCGGCCAAACAGGUCCACUGUGAAAACUCGAGGCUCAACCUCGAGAGGUCGGUGGAAACCGUCUGGCUAGAGUCCGGAAGAGGAGAGUGGGAAUUCCCGGUGUAGCGGUGAAAUGCGUAGAUAUCGAGAGGAACACCUGCGGCGAAGGCGGGUUGCCUGGGCUGACACUGACGCUGAUGCGGCGAAAG
rnacentral:rRNA from 1 species